GAUGAACGCUAGCGGCAGGCCUAAUACAUGCAAGUCGAACGGUGUAGCAAUACACAGUGGCGCACGGGUGCGUAACACGUAUGCAACCUACCUUACAUUGGGGGAUAGCCUUUCGAAAGGGAGAUUAAUACCGCAUAAGACAGUAACUAGGCAUCUAGUAGCUGUUAAAGAUUUAUCGAUGUAAGCUGGGCAUGCGUCCAAUUAGUUAGUUGGCGAGGUAAUGGCUCACCAAGACGAUGAUUGGGAGGGGAACUGAGAGGUCAAUCCCCCACACUGUAACUGAGAUACGGGCCAGACUCCUAUGGGAGGCAGCAGUAGGGAAUAUUGGGCAAUGGGCGCAAGCCUGACCCAGCCAUGCCGCGUGCAGGAAGAAGGCGUUAUGCGUUGUAAACUGCUUUUAUACAGGAAGAAACGACCCUUGCGAGGGGCAUUGACGGUACUGUAUGAAUAAGCACCGGCUAACUCCGUGCCAGCCGCCGCCGUAAAAC
rnacentral:rRNA from 1 species